GGUUGAUCCUGCCAGUAGUCAUAUGCUUGUCUCAAAGAUUAAGCCAUGCAUGUCUAAGUAUAAACCUUUAUACGGUGAAACUGCGAAUGGCUCAUUAAAUCAGUUAUAGUUUAUUUGAUGGUACCUUUACUCGGAUAACCGUAGUAAUUCUAGAGCUAAUACGUGCGUAAAUCCCAACUUCUGGACGGGACGUGCUUAUUAGAUAAAAGGCCAGCCGGGCUUGCCCGACCCUUGGCGAAUCAUGAUAAUCUCACGAAUCGCAUGGCCUCGUGCCAGCGAUGUUUCAUUCAAAU
rnacentral:rRNA from 1 species